UGUAAUUACUACUGUAAGUCGCUCUGGAUAAGAGCGUCUGCUAAAUGACUAAAA
rfam:Salmo salar isolate Sally breed double haploid chromosome ssa13, whole genome shotgun sequence.